AUUGAACGCUGGCGGCAGGCUUAACACAUGCAAGUCGAACGAUGAAGAUAUAGCUUGCUAUAUCGGAUUAGUGGCGGACGGGUGAGUAACACUUAGGAAUCUACCUUUUAGCGGGGGAUAGCUCGGGGAAACCCGAAUUAAUACCGCAUAAUUUCUACGGAAUAAAGAGGGCUUUUAGCUCUCACUAGAAGAUGAGCCUAAGUAAGAUUAGCUAGUUGGUGGGGUAAAAGCCUACCAAGGCGACGAUCUUUAGCUGGUCUGAGAGGAUGAUCAGCCACACUGGGACUGAGACACGGCCCAGACUCCUACGGGAGGCAGCAGUGGGGAAUAUUGGACAAUGGGGGCAACCCUGAUCCAGCCAUGCCGCGUGUGUGAAGAAGGCCUUUUGGUUGUAAAGCACUUUAAGCAGUGAAGAAGACCUAUUGGUUAAUACCCAAUAGCGAUGACAUUAACUGCAGAAUAAGCACCGGCUAACUCUGUGCCAGCAGCCGCGGUAAUACAGAGGGUGCAAGCGUUAAUCGGAAUUACUGGGCGUAAAGCGAGCGUAGGUGGUUAAAUAAGUCAGAUGUGAAAGCCCUGGGCUCAACCUAGGAACGGCAUCUGAAACUAUUUAACUAGAGUAGGUGAGAGGGAAGUAGAAUUUCAGGUGUAGCGGUGAAAUGCGUAGAGAUCUGAAGGAAUACCGAUGGCGAAGGCAGCUUCCUGGCAUCAUACUGACACUGAGGCUCGAAAGCGUGGGUAGCAAACAGG
rnacentral:rRNA from 1 species